GGGGGCGAACGGAUUCGACGGUGGUCUGGAAGCCGCAGGACGCGAGCCGAGUCGCGUGAUCUCGACAAAACGCGCAGCCAAACAACCGCCAACAGCACAAACUGUCUGGCACUCGCCGCCUAAUCAGCGGCGACGUCCUCCCGUCCGGGCUAGCAGGACGGCUUGGGCGUAAGAGCAGCUAGCUUGCCCGGAACCCCGAGGUUCGUAGGGGUGAGGGGAGAACAACAACGAACUAGCCUUUGAGGAAGCCGGCCUGCGGGCGUCCUCUGGGGCGAAGACAGAACGCAGGACACGCUCGUAGGGGUCUGCGGGGACUGUCCGCCGGACGUGGGUUCGAUUCCCACCGCCUCCACCA
rnacentral:tmRNA from 1 species